AGUGGAACAUACUAAUGUAUGCCUAUUGAAGCCUUGGAUCUCAGUCUACAGUUGACAAAGAUAGCUAGCUGGUUGCUCCCUUUUCAACAUAGUAGGCGACACCUUCAUUGUGCUUGGAUAUCUUUUAGGUAACAUGCAGCUGCUAAUUUAGCAGUUCACAGAUCAAACGAAGGUGGUUUUAAGUUCCAACAAAUUGAGUGCCCUAUAUGGUGAAACUUGUGUACAUGCAUUUGCUAUUUGGCACAAGAUU
rnacentral:misc_RNA from 1 species